rnacentral:lncRNA from 1 species
CGAUUUUUAUUUUAAUCCCCCAUGCAGUAUAUUAUACUCUAAGGCAUGCGAUAACUCACGUUAUCCCCCUAGCAGUAUAGUGUACUCAAUGGGCAUACGAUAACUCGAGGUUAUCCCCCAUGCAGUACACAAGGCAGACAGACUAGAGCUCUAACUGAAUCGUAACGUGUCACCUUGGCCAAGGUUCACCUUUACGAUAAUAUUUGCCUCAAUUCACUCGACUCCUCAACUGAAUCGUAAUGUGUCACCUUAGCCAAGGUUCACCUUUACGAUAACAG